GGGUGGAGUAAUGUUUAGAACAUUCUAACAACACAAAAGGGUUGACAUUGAGGCCACCCAACCAGUGGAUCAGCAAUUGCAAUAUUAAGGCUGUAAAUAUGGUCUGAGAUUCUUAUUCAGCAUACCUGGGUUCUCCUGCCAUACUGACAGUAAUGAUCGUGAGGUGAUAGAGUGAGGAUAUGCGCUACUUUUGGACCUGUAUACCUGGCUGACAAUAACUUUGUGACCCUUUGAGAGUAUAAUUUUAAAUGGACAUUAUUUAUUAUUUCAAGAAGUUCAGCGUCGAGAGGUUUCUUGCCCCGGAUGGCUCGGAAGGCGCCCAUCCCACGUCAGGCAACCGCCGGAUAGUCAGGUUUUUACGCCCAGCCGGCUCGUCAGGCUGCUGAGCCUCCGCCGGAUCAUCGGGAUCGACAGGCCUUCAUGUCUCAGCUGGAUCGUCAGGCUCCUAUCCCUUAGCCGGCUCGCCAGGCUCUCACGCUUCUGCCGGUUCUUCGGGAUUUCACUCCCAGCCAGGUUGUCCAGCACCUGAUUGGUGCUUCAGAGCGGCCCAUCACACUCGCCCAGGUGGGAUGCCAGGUGGCACCUGUGGGGGAGGGGGGGUGGGUACUGUCACACCUGCUCCCGCUCUUCCCCCCUGCCACUCAGCAUUGAUUGUCAUAUCCCCGUGUGCUGACGCUGUUCCUGUCUUGUUUCCAUGUCUGUUCCAAUUAAAUGUUUGACUCCCCGUACCUGCUUCUCUAUUUCAGCAUCAGUCCUUACUUAAUCUGAAUAUUGUCCUCAAGAUAUGUGUGCUAUGAAGAUGCUAUUCAUGUGUUGUUCAGUAUAACUGUAUAUUAGUUAAAUAAUUGCCUCCUUAUAAUGCAUUGUUAAUAAGGUUUCUAAUUAAAACACCCUUGGCGAUUUUGA